CAGGACAGGGAACAAGAACUGGAGCAACUGACAAAGGAGCUGCGACAGGUCAAUCUGCAACAGUUCAUCCAGCAAACAGGAACGAAGGUCACGGUGCUGCCAGCAGACCCUGUGGAGGUGGAGGCCCCGCAUGUGGAGCUCGAGAGAGAGCCAACAUUUCAGUCUGGGUCACUGAAGCGCCCUGGCUCAUCGAGGCAGCUCCCCAGUAACCUUCGGAUUCUACAGAAUCCCCUGUCAUCUGGUUUUAACCCGGAAGGCAUUUAUGUAUGACAGUACAUACCUCUUCUGGAGAGGACCUAGCAAGGUACCCUGGACAAGAUACACUUUUGUUUUAUUCCACCAGUGAUGAACGGAAGAAGGUUUUAUCUUUUUUUGUUAAGCCACCAUAUUUUUUUUUCCCCUUCUUCCUCCAACACACCACUUGGAGCCAUACCCUGUGCACUGAUGCUAAAGAGGCAGAGGAACUGUCUCGAUUCGUAAUUGGCAAGGAUGAACUUGCUGUCAACACAGCUAGAGUGCAAAAACCUUCAUUUGUUUUUGCAACUUCAGAAGCGUUUGGGAAAGUAUUGUUCCAUGUAUAGGCAUAAAUAAGACUGAGGGUGAAGGAAACCAGGUAUACAACUUAUCUGAGGUUUAAUUUAUUCCCUUUAAUCAAUGGACGUGUGAAUGUUGACCUUUUAUAUUUUUAUUUUUAACUUGUGAAUAAUUACAUAUGACUGUAUGUCAGUCUGACAAGGUGGCUUUGAUUUGCGUGUGCAACCAUCCACCGUUUGAUCAAGUACAACAACUUGCAACGCAGAGCUCUGUGGAGCGCUGAACCAUUAAAAUGGUUUCUCACCACCAACUUUGUUAAUUUCUGUUGUGGGUCAUAAUAUGUCAUGUUCCAUCCAUUGCUACCUUUUAAGGCUUGAAAAGUGAGCUUGUGGGAUUUACUUGCUGUUGAAUCUGCCUUGAAUGAAGCACCUAGUGUUCAAAAGAUUUAUGGAAUUUAAACCUUGGCUUGGUAAAAAUAUUUCCAGCAUAUGAUUGAGGAUGCACUAGUUAGAUGAUAUUUUAUUAUAUAGAAUGUAUAUUUGAAAUAUUUUGCCACAUUGUAUAUGCCUUUUGAGAAAAGAACAAUGUAAGAAGUUGUCUUCAUAUAUCUUACUGAAAGAGAGUAGGAGACUUUCA